rnacentral:rRNA from 1 species
ACGGGGUGCAGCAGGCGCGAAAACUUUACAAUGCGGGAAACCGUGAUAAGGGAACUCCGAGUGCCCGUUAAAUCGGGCUGUCCGCCAGUUUAAAUAACUGACGAAGAAAGGGCCGGGCAAGACCGGUGCCAGCCGCCGCGGUAAUACCGGCGGCUCGAGUGGUGGCCACUAUUACUGGGCUUAAAGCGUUCGUAGCUGGUUUGUUAAGUCUCUGGGGAAAUCUGCCGGCUUAACCGGCAGGCGUCUCAGGGAUACUGGCAGACUAGGGACCGGGAGAGGUGAGGGGUACUCCAGGGGUAGGAGUGAAAUCCUGUAAUCCUUGGGGGACCACCUGUGGCGAAGGCGCCUCACCAGAACGGCUCCGACAGUGAGGGACGAAAGCUGGGGGAGCAAACCGGAUUAGAUACCCGGGUAGUCCCAGCUGUAAACGAUGCGCGUUAGGUGUAUCGGUGACCACGAGUCACCGAGGUGCCGAAGAGAAAUCGUGAAACGUGCCGCCUGGGAAGUACGGUCGCAAGGCUGAAACUUAAAGGAAUUGGCGGGGGAGCAC